ensembl:lncRNA
GAGAGAUUGACUGCUGUUCUCCAGGCAUAAAUAAAGCCUUAUUGUGUCAAGGUUUGUCAGUCCUUCAGAUUACGCAACAACAAUAACAGAUACACGGCUAUAAUGCAAAGUCAGAAGUUUUCAGGAGCCAUCGUUGCCUGAUUUGGGCUUCAGAGAGAAUUUUCCUGUACUGUAAACACUGUUGGAGCUGGAUGGAGAUAUUGCUGUCAGUAGUGUACAGUAUGUGGGGCUGGAGCGAGCAGACGGCUGUUUUUCAUGACAGUUUUCCUCCCCUGCGACUCCUUCUGAAGGAGGAGGAGUGAUCCACGGCUCGGACCUCCACGAACAGCAUCUCUCUGCAGGAGUCCAGCGCUGCAGACCUCAGGCCUCAAACACGCCUUUCUCUUUUUAUAUUCCUCCUGACGCACGCGUUUCUCUCCAGACCGGAGCAGUGCAGAUGAUUGCCUUUGCAUGACACAAGUGAUGGACAGAUGUUUUGGGAUCUGCUUCAUUCUCCUUCUCUGCUCGACCUCCAUAUGUCCGUCUCUCAUUCUCAUGUAUAUUUGCUCCUGAUCUAUUAAUAACCGCAGCGGCUGCGAGCGAUCGCUCAGUGUCUGCAUCUCCUUUCAUUCAAGCAUUUACAGGAAUUAAAAACAAAAGCAAACAGCCAUCACAGCGCAGAAGAGAAAUGCUCACAAAGAUUUCAACUGACAGAAAGUUAAAUACCGGAGAGCUUUGAAUUCCCCAUUAACAUGAUAUUAAAAGUUGUACUUUUUGUGC